GACGGAGGAUGCAAGCGUUAUCCGGAAUGAUUGGGCGGAAAGCGUCCGCAGGUGGCAGUUCAAGUCUGCUGUCAAAGACCGGGGCUUAACUUCGGAAAGGCAGUGGAAACUGAACAGCUAGAGUAUGGUAGGGGCAGAGGGAAUUCCUGGUGUAGCGGUGAAAUGCGUAGAGAUCAGGAAGAACAUCGGUGGCGAAGGCGCUCUGCUGGACCAUAACUGACACUCAGGGACGAAAGCUAGGGGAGCGAAUGGG
rnacentral:rRNA from 1 species